rnacentral:rRNA from 1 species
CACCUCUAGCAUUACCAGUAUUAGAGGCACUGCCUGCCCAGUGACAUUAGUUUAACGGCCGCGGUAUCCUGACCGUGCAAAGGUAGCAUAAUCAUUUGUUCCUUAAUUAGGGACUUGUAUGAAUGGCCCCACGAGGGUUUAACUGUCUCUUACUUUUAAUCAGUGAAAUUGACCUUCCCGUGAAGAGGCGGGAAUACAAAAAUAAGACGAGAAGACCCUAUGGAGCUUAAAUUAAAGUGUCCAACAAAAUUUAAACUUGAUCCAACAGGAAUAAUAACAUUUUAACUGGACAACAAAUUUUGGUUGGGGUGACCUCGGAGUAUAACAAAACCUCCGAGCGAUUAUAACCAAGACUUACCCGUCAAGGUGUCAUAAUUUAUUGAUCCAAUCAUAUUGAUCAACGAAACAAGUUACCCUAGGGAUAACAGCGCAAUCCUAUUUAAGAGUCCAUAUCGACAAUAGGGUUUACGACCUCGAUGUUGGAUCAGGACCCCCAAAUGGUGCAGCAGCUAUUAAAGGUUCGUUUGUUCAACG